rnacentral:rRNA from 1 species
AUUGAACGCUGGCGGCAGGCUUAACACAUGCAAGUCGAGCGAGCGGCGGACGGGUGAGUAAUGUCUGGGAAACUGCCUGAUGGAGGGGGAUAACUACUGGAAACGGUAGCUAAUACCGCAUACCAUCAGUUGUGCCCAGAUGGGAUUGGCUAGUAGGUGGGGUAAUGGCUCACCUAGGCGACGAUCCCUAGCUGGUCUGAGAGGGUGACGGGCAAAACGGGAACUGAGAAAGGGUCCAGACUCGUCCGGGAGGCAGCGGUGGGGAAUAUUGCACAAGGGGCGAAAGCCGGAGGCGGCCAUGCCGCGUAUGGGAGGAAGGCCUUCGGGUGGUAAAGCACUUUCAGCGAGGAGGCGUUACUCGCAGAAGAAGCACCGGCUAACUCCGUGCCAGCCGCCGCGGUAAUAC